rnacentral:snoRNA from 1 species
GCUGGAGUAAUUUACACAGCCAGAACCCAUGCAAAAGUAAAGUAUUCCUUUUUUAAAUGACUAUGAUUGAUAUGCUAAAUUUUUAAAUAGUAUGUCAUUUACUGAAAGCAAAUACAAAU